rnacentral:rRNA from 1 species
UACGGAGGGUGCGAGCGUUGUCCGGAAUCACUGGGCGUAAAGGGCGCGUAGGCGGCGCGGGUAGUCAUCGGUGAAAGUUCAGGGCUCAACUCUGAAUCGGCCGGUGAGACUCCCGUGCUCGAGCACUGUAGAGGCAGAUGGAAUUCCGGGUGUAGCGGUGGAAUGCGUAGAGAUCCGGAAGAACACCGGUGGCGAAGGCGGCCUGCUGGGCAGGAGCUGACGCUGAGGCGCGACAGCGUGGGGAGCAAACAGG